CUCUGGGGUAGUGUUGGGACCGCCCCCGCUCAGCAACGCGUCCGUGUCUCUGAGUUGGUCCCGCGCGCGUUUGGUGCGGCUGGGGCCGGAAAUCCCCGGCAGGAGGUGAGAGACAGAGCCGAGUGGGGGCCAACAAUGCUGAGAAAAAAAUGCGCAAGACCCACAAUAUUAACUUCUUCAGAAAAGAAAACCAGGAGACAAAUUAUUGAUAAAAAGGUGGCGUACACAAGGAUAUACUUGGGAAAUCAAAUUGGCCGAUGGCUGACCUUAAGGGAAAAACUGGAUUUCAAAAGUGACACAGACCUUGCAGGAUUUUUGCUGGAUCUCUAUGACAACGAUGGUCCAUUACCUAAAGAAGCAGCAGUCUCCUUACCUGAAGAUAUGAGAAUCGUAACUGCGAAAGAAGAAAGAGAUUUACAUGAUGACUCCUCUUCAGCUGUUGGAAUAUGUGACAGUGAGGACCGACUGACUGCAGAAUCAGCCUGUUCUUUACCACAAAGUAGGGGAAUCAGAACCGUGAAAGAAGAGAGGCAUUUGCAGGAUGACUCCUCUUCAGUACAGAGUGAUGAAAAAUAAGUCAGCAUUCAUACAAUGAGGUUUCCUGGUAUUCAGGUGAAGAUUCUCCUAUUGGCUCUGAAUCUGACCUUUCAGAAAGGUAAAAUUAUUUAAUACAGAAGGUAUUUCCUUUGUGCAUAGUAUAAAUUGGUACUUUGAAGAGCAGUGUAUUUUAUAUUGUUUGUAAAGUAUUUACUAAAUAUUCUUAUUAAAGGAAUAUUAAAAUU